CCCGGUUUUGGAGUUUGUUAGCCAGCUAAGUCAUAUGCAUUUACCUGUAAGACAAUUAUUUGCCUAUAAAUACCUACCUCUACAUUGAUUUCUCCUUUUGCAACAAGAAAAUAAAACUCAGAAGUUAGAGAGAAGAAGAAAUGAGAGAGAGAGAGAGAGAGAGAGUGAGAGAAAGAAAGAUAAAAACCAAUGCAUGUUGCCACCAGAGAUCGCCGGAACCACCACACGCCAGCACAUCGCCAAGCUCGUCAUCACCAUCAACCGCAGCUUAGAAUCGCCGGAAACCGCCGCCUCUUAAGCUUUGUUUUCGUCCGUUCAGUAAAUCAGCUAUAUCUCCAUAACCGUUGAGAAUCUCUCGCAUGCAAGACCAUCAUCGUGUUCCUCUCGUCGAGACGAAGCCGUAGACACCGACCACGCCGCAAUCGGAGUUCAGACGAAGCCGUACGCGCCUCCAAAAGUUACGCCGACUGCGCGCGUUUCUUCCACGCGCCGCCGCCGGAUAUCGCCUCCGCCGUCUUCCGCCACCGUCCUCCGCCGCAUCUCCGCCGCUGCCAGAAGUCGCCUCCGCCGCAGCUCCGCCGCCGCCGGGAAUCGCCUCCGCCGUCGCCGCCGACAAACUUUCCGAUAUGGAGUCUAUUUGAGCAGCUGGAGUUCAUAAACACUAUUUUUCUAUUGCUAAGGUGAGACAAAUAAGUAUGUGAUAUUUGGACGGACUUGGUGCUACUGGACUUUUCUUUCGGAUUUUAUUUGGGCUUGGGUGAGCGUUAUUGGGUUUAUGGGCUUUUAUAUUAUGGGAUAUUGUUGGUGGCCCGUCGUCCUUAGUGAGAAGGAGACGGAUGUCACAUUGUUGUAUGAUGACGCGUCGGUGGUGACACGCUGUCCUCCAGAUAGGAGGUGACGGGUGUCGCAAUUUUGGUAUCAGAGCGGGGUUCCAUCCCGGUUCCGUCCGGGAUGGCGGUCAGGGGAUUCGGUUUUCAUCGGUUUUCAACGUUCUUUUUGUUUUUUUUAAAAAAAAUAUUUAUUAAUAUAUUUCGAAAUUCUUUUAGCACCAUUCUGUCCAUUAAUUACUAACUCAAAUGUCUCUUUCUAUGACGAUGAGUAAAAUCAUCGUCAUUCGUCCUUCGACUAACAGGGUUCUCGCCAGAUGUUCAGCAGUUGGGCGAUGUUUAAGUUCUUCAGUUUUCUCAAGAGUUAUCAGUUUCUUCGGUCAUGAUUUCGAGGUUAUCCAGGAGUGGAUAUGUGACGUUUCUGCCACCAGCCCACUUCAAGCAAUCGUUCCACGAGUUUUGUUACUGGAGAUUAUGUGAUGUGAGGUAUGAGCCAUUGGUUGGCAUGUGUACGAGUAUAUUAUCUAUUUUGGAGGUAUAUUUGUCUUGUGAACUCGUGGAGAUCGCUUUUGAAUUGGGAUGUGCCGGUUCGGAUAGCUGACAUAUGACAUUGGGAGCUAUUUAUAUUCAUGGUGUCGCACCAGUUAUGCUUGGUGGAGUCGAGUUAUCUGGAGCCCCUCAGAGAGAUGGAGCAGAGUUUUAUGAUGUUAUUGUUUUUUUUGGGAUGGAUUGGUUGUCACGACAUCGAGUAGUGUUGGAUUGCCUGAAGGCACGAGUUUAUAUUGCUGGAGCAGAUGAAAUUUUUAUUGCAUGCAUGCUACAUACUGAGGAGUUAUGGAAUAUAAGAACAAAGAAAUUUUCGGCAACCAUUUCGAUGGUUAAGGAUGAUGGACAGCAUGAGCUGCAGGAUCUUCCGGUUAUUGCAGAGUAUGAGGAUAUAUUUGUGACCUUUGGAACGGUCACUACAAGACACAUGAGACGCUCUUGCGAAUUGUUUGGAGCAAACAUCAAUGGUUUCACGAGUUUCUUAUCAUCUAUCACGAGCAGGGAUGACCGAGUUGAGAAAGCAAUUGGAGGAACUCUUUGAUAAGGGAUUUAUCAGAUUGCUUACAUCACCAUGGAGAGCAUCAUUGUUGUUGUAAAGAAGAAAGGUGGGAGUUUCAGAUUUUUGUAUCGACUACAUAGACUUGAACAUGGUAACCAUCGUAUUGAUGAGUAGUUAUAUGAGAUUAAUGGAGGUUCAUCGUUCUCGAAGUUUGUCUUGGCAUCAGGAUACCAUCAGUUUGCUAUAGCUGAGGAGUAUGUACGGAAUGCAGAUUUCUGUUAUGGAUAUUAUGAGUUCAUAGUGAUACCAUUUGGGUCGACAAAGGCACCGUUGCAUUCAUGAAGAUAUGAAUGACGUUUUCGUGAACAUUUGGAUAGGUGUGCGAUUGUAUUCAUCAACGACAUCCUGGUUAUUUUGGAGUAGAAAGGAGAUUUAUAAGCAUUUCGCGGAUUGCGUUGGAUAAGCUUGGAGAGCAUCAGUUGUUCGCUACGUUGAGGAAUUGUAGCUUCUGGCAGAGGAAUGUUGAAUUUUUGGGUAACAUGGUUUUGGAAGCAAAAUUUUGAUUGAUCCAAAGAAGAUUAAUACCGUUCCGGGAAGGUCGAAACUUAAGAACACUACAGAGAUCUACCGUUCUUUUUGGGUUAACAGUGUACUACUAGAAGUUCAUCAAGGGUUUCACCGUUAUAGUAAUGUUGAAGAUACAGUCUACAUGUAAAGACGUUAAGUGUGGUUGGAUAGAUUUUUGUUUGAGGAGUUCACUGAAUAGAAGCACAACUAAUGAAGACACUAAUUUUGGUUCUGCAGAGGCUGAGGCUUACUCUGAUGUGUCAGAUACUGGCUUGGAUUUAAAUUGAGGUAAGAAGAUUAAGUCAUUCAUAUGCAUCACGCCAGAGAGGUUGUAGUGGUAAUUACGUUAUAGUUUUGGAGAUCGUAAUUGUACGAGAAGGAAGUCCAGAUUCUAUGGGAUCAUUAGAGUCUGACAUUUAUCUACACAUUAAAAAUUACAAUUUGGCAGUGCAGUCGGAAUGAGUUUGUAGCAGGCUGCAGUUUGGAUAUCGCAUGCCAUCUGGUAAGGACAACCAGGUGACAAAUGUCUUGGGUAGGCAUAUGAGCGACGUAUUUGGAACAAAGGAAGGUCAGGAGUUUACUGGGACAGUUGCUAGUCUCAAAUUGUGUGUCGUAUUGUCAAGGGAAAGACAUAUUGCCUUGAGGAUUGGAGCAUGCAGUUUUGCUAUGGAAGAUACACCAUGCGCAGGUUAGCGUUAUGGUUUUCGUUGAAUAGAUCGAGAUUGAGAAUAUUGGAGAUCAUACAGCUUUGAGCAGGACGUACCUAUAUCGAAACCGAGUUUGUGUGUUGGACGAUAAGCUGUUAAGAAAAGGGAUCUUACAGCAAACACAUCACUUAUGUUACUCUACCCAUCGGAAAUAAUAAGGAGUUCAAAGAUAUUAAGCGUUACUAUCAUUGACCUAUUAUGAAAAGAUUGUAGCCACAUUGCGUCGCAAGGAUAUGUAAGUCAGCUGGUUUUCCAUGAGGAUUAUAUACGGUUCAGGUUAUUGUUGAGCAUGCUUUUGACAAAGUGGAAUGAGACAUGGUGAUUAUGAAUAUCGUUACUGGAUUUUUAAAUCACCGUAUGUGGAAAGGAUGCCAUAUGGGUAGUCAUGGAUAGACUUACCGAGUGAAUCCAUCUCCUAAAUAAUUUAGAAGGCAGAGAGAGCUGAUCAGUUGGUGCAGAUUUUCAUCAACAUGAUUUUGAGGUUGCAUGAAGCUCUUGUCAACAUUGUAUCGGAUUGGGAUUCAAAGUUCACCUCUACAUUUUGGAUUCAUUCAGAAGGCGUUUGGGACAAGCGUUCACAAGAAUACAACUUAUUAUCAACAUACAAAUGGUCAGAGGACUACUCAGAACUUAAAGGAUAUAUUCAGGGAUUGCGUCUUCCAAUGGGAUGGAAGUUCAGAAAGCAUCGACCUCUAAUAGAGUUUACCUAUAUCGACAAUUAUCAUUCAAGCAUUGAGAUGGACAGUACGAGGCUGUUUAUGGUAGGCUUUAUCGUAUACCACUUUGUUGGACCAAAGUGGGGGAGCGACAUGAGUUAAAAUUACUAAUGGUUCAAGAGACGGUAGAGCAAAUAGAUAUGCUCAAAAAUUGGCUUUGGGAAGCACAUAACGUCAGAUAAUUUAUGCAGCUAAGCGCCAUAAAGAUUUGGAGUUACAUAUAGGUUAUUUAGUAUACCUGAAAAUAAGGACAUUUCAGGAGGGAUCUAAGACUCAGAAGCUAAAGGAACCAAGGUACAUGGGAUUGUAUCCUUCGAAGGAGCGGAUUAGAGCAGUUGCUUGCAGCUGUUUUAUUAGCAGUGUAUCAGAUUUUUUUACAACGUGGUUCAUGUGUCAGCAUUGAGAAAAGUUGAAAAAAGACCAGAAUUAUUUUGCAGCAGACGCCAAAUCACCGCAAGAAGAUUGUACUCGCCUUGUCAGCUAGUGUAGAAUUCAGAUCAUCAAGCGAAAGCAGUUUAGAGAAAAUCGACUGUGUUUGUCAGAGUAUGUUGAGAGUGAGAUGAGACCUGAGAAAGCGAGCAUAUUGAUUAUUCAAGUUCGUUUCAAUGAUGUUGGGGAAUUAACGGACGACUCGAAUUCGGGGACGAAUUCUUUGUAGUGGGGGAGAAUUGUAACGACCCGAUCCCGGUUUUGGAGUUUGUUAGCCAGCUAAGUCAUAUGCAUUUACCUGUAAGACAAUUAUUUGCCUAUAAAUACCUACCUCUACAUUGAUUUCUCCUUUUGCAACAAGAAAAUAAAACUCAGAAGUUAGAGAGAAGAAGAAAUGAGAGAGAGAGAGAGAGAGAGAGUGAGAGAAAGAAAGAUAAAAACCAAUGCAUGUUGCCACCAGAGAUCGCCGGAACCACCACACGCCAGCACAUCGCCAAGCUCGUCAUCACCAUCAACCGCAGCUUAGAAUCGCCGGAAACCGCCGCCUCUUAAGCUUUGUUUUCGUCCGUUCAGUAAAUCAGCUAUAUCUCCAUAACCGUUGAGAAUCUCUCGCAUGCAAGACCAUCAUCGUGUUCCUCUCGUCGAGACGAAGCCGUAGACACCGACCACGCCGAAAUCGGAGUUCAGACGAAGCCGUACGCGCCUCCAAAAGUUACGCCGACUGCGCGCGUUUCUUCCACGCGCCGCCGCCGGAUAUCGCCUCCGCCGUCUUCCGCCACCGUCCUCCGCCGCAUCUCCGCCGCUGCCAGAAGUCGCCUCCGCCGCAGCUCCGCCGCCGCCGGGAAUCGCCUCCGCCGUCGCCGCCGACAAACUUUCCGAUAUGGAGUCUAUUUGAGCAGCUGGAGUUCAUAAACACUAUUUUUCUAUUGCUAAGGUGAGACAAAUAAGUAUGUGAUAUUUGGACGGACUUGGUGCUACUGGACUUUUCCUACAGAUUUUUAUUUGGGUUUUGGGUGAGCGUUAUUGGGUUUAUGGGCUUUUAUAUUAUGGGAUAUUGUUGGUGGCCCGUCGUCCUUAGUGAGAAGGAGACGGAUGUCACAUUGUUGUAUGAUGACGCGUCGGUGGUGACACGCUGUCCUCCAGAUAGGAGGUGACGGGUGUCGCACCUACAUAGUCAAAUAUUCUUGGAUGAAACCGGUAAAUUGUGCAAUUAUGUAUAUGUUUUUUUCUUCUUCUUUUUUUUUUAAAGAAUGUUAAAUUAAUUCAACAAAAAAAAAUUACAGUUUACAACCAAAGUUGAAAGUUGCUUGUUUGAGUCUGAAAUGAAAAACUAGAGCUUUACAUUACAGAGAAAAUUAUCUAAGAGAGAACCAUACAUAUGGAUUUUUAGAAGGCUCAAACUUUUAUGUCACAGAGUUGAAGUACUUGAUGAAGAAUCAGGAGAUGAUGAAGAAGGAGGUGGCCAGAGGACGUAUAAACUACCAAUGUCAUGCAUUUUACCGUUUCCAAAAAGGAAUGAUCCUUCGACAACACAAGAGUUUCUACCAGGGAAACAUGUAUUAGCUGUAUAUCCAGGAACCACAGCUCUUUACAAAGCGACUGUAGUAAGUACACCACGAAAGAGGAAGUCUGACGAG